rnacentral:rRNA from 1 species
GACAGAGGGUGCGAACGUUGUCCGGAAUCACUGGGCGUAAAGGGCGCGUAGGCGGCCUGGUAAGGUUGCGGUGAAAGCCCGGGGCUCAACCCCGGGUCGGCCGUGGCAACUGCUGGGCUCGAGCACUGUAGAGGCAGGUGGAAUUCCGGGUGUAGCGGUGGAAUGCGUAGAGAUCCGGAAGAACACCGGUGGCGAAGGCGGCCUGCUGGGCAGUGACUGACGCUGAGGCGCGACAGCGUGGGGAG